CAUUGAGUAUGAGCGUAAUGUAAGACUUGAAGAACAUCAGACACGUUGAUCUUCUGAGAUAUGGACAAUAUAAACACA